GAGGGCAAGUCUGGUGCCAGCAGCCGCGGUAAUUCCAGCUCCAAUAGCGUAUAUUAAACUUGUUGCAGUUAAAAAGCUCGUAGUUGAACUUUAGCGUGUUCGAGUUUGCCAUUCGUUUGGCCUUUUCGAGUUCGCUUUUGGGUUUUCCCUUUUUACUUUGAGAAAAUUAGAGUGUUUCAAGCAGACUUUUGUCUUGAAUACUUCAGCAUGGAAUAAUAGAGUAGGACUUUGGUUCUAUUUUGUUGGUUAUUGAACCUUAGUAAUGGUUAAUAGGAACGGUUGGGGGCAUA
rnacentral:rRNA from 1 species